GGCAGUGUAGCACAGUGGUAAGGCGCAGGGCUUGUAACCAAAAGGUUGCUGGUUCGAUUACCUGCUGGGGCACUGCUU
rnacentral:tRNA from 1 species